CGCGGUUUCUGGGCGCCAGGGUCUGCACCGAAACAUGGCAGAGGUUGGGUCCAAGUCAGUGCUGUUCGUGUGUCUCGGUAACAUUUGCCGGUCACCCAUUGCAGAAGCAGUAUUCAGAAAACUGGUAACUGAUGAAAAGGUUUCCAAUAAUUGGAGGAUAGACAGUGCGGCUACAUCCACCUAUGAAGUGGGGAACCCUCCUGACUAUCGAGGGCAGAACUGCAUGAGAAAACAUGGCAUCCACAUGCAGUACAUUGCACGGCAGAUUACAAAAGAAGACUUUGCCACAUUCGAUUAUAUACUAUGUAUGGAUGAAAGCAAUCUGAGAGAUCUCAAUAGAAAAAGUAAUCAAGUUAAAAACUGCAAAGCUAAAAUCGAGCUACUUGGGAGCUAUGAUCCACAGAAACAGCUCAUCAUUAAAGAUCCCUAUUAUGGCCAUGACUCUGACUUCGAGGUGGUGUACCAGCAAUGCCUUAGGUGCUGCAAAGCCUUCCUGGAGAAGACUUACUAGUUGGUCCUAACCACCACCAUUGAGCAGCUCAUUCAUCAGUACUGUGCCCAAGGGUGGUGGCAGUNCUUAGCCCCAUACCCCACCUCUCUUUUCAGCUGACUUANUGUAUAUCUUUAAAAUAAUUGUAGGUGGAAAUUAGGCAUAUGUUCANAAGGAUAAAAGCAUUUGAGUCAGACAGUUCGAGAUGUGGCUAAGCAUUCUUAGACUAACUAAACCUUUGACCUUGCCGCAAUUACAAAACAGUGGAACAAGCAAAUAGGGAACAACAACAACAACAAAAAACCCAGUAAAGUAAGAGUGACCCAGAAGGUCCAGGUCAGCCUCUGAGCUCGGCAAGCUUGGGUAGCCGGGUCUAAGUAGAGCGUGUGCAUGACCAGCACCCAGUGUGCCAUUUGCUUGCCGUGUACCUCUCUACUCUAGACUCUCAUUGUGACAAUAUCUCCAUUCACGGCAGCCUUCCAGUUAGCACUGGCAGAGUUUAAGCUCAGACACACUGAGGGUGUUGAGGGAUUUGAGAAAGGAGACGCUGGAUGUGCUGAUGGGCCUGGGACUCCAGCAGGCCGUCCUGGGCUGGACAGUGACACCCUGUCUAAAAGGGGAACAAAAAUAACAACGGAUGGGAGCAGCAGAUGGAUUAAGUUACCAUCUUCAAUCUUACUUGGUUUUUGUCUACUUUCCUGAGCUUUGUUCUUGUUUGAGCCACUUUGCUUUUUUUUUUAAAAAAAAAAAAAAGUAAGUGUGCCUAAAUACUGGUAUGUGUUUGUAAGUGUUCUCUCAUCAGCAAUUUACAAAGUUAUAGGCAAGCAUGAGUAAUUUUGGUGUAUUUUCACCUCAAAUUUAUAUGAAUGUAUGUCAGAAAGGAACGUGAAUUCAACUGGAAAGUUAUUAAAUACAACUGAGAUACAAA